rnacentral:tRNA from 2 species
GGACGAGUAGCUCAAUUGGUAGAGCAAUCGACUCUUAAUCGAUUGGUUCUGGGUUCGAGUCCCAGCUCGUCCACCA